rnacentral:rRNA from 1 species
UAGUAACGGCGAGUGAAGCGGGAAGAGCUCAAGCUUGAAAUCUCCGCACAAGUUUUGUGUGGCGAAUUGUAGUCUAUAGAAGCGAUGUCAGCAUUGCUGCUCUAGUCAAGUUCCUUGGAAAAGGACAGCAUGGAGGGUUAUACUCCCGUCAUUGCUGGAGCAUGCUGUGUGUACGACACGUUUUCUUUGAGUCGCGUUGUUUGGGAAUGCAGCGCAAAGUAGGUGGUAAAUUCCAUCUAAAGCUAAAUAUAAGUGCGAGACCGAUAGCGAACAAGUACCGUGAGGGAAAGAUGAAAAGAACUUUGAAAAGAGAGUUAAAGAGUACCUGAAACUGCUGAAAGGGAAGCGAAUCGUAUCCAGUGUCUAUAAUCCGCAACAUAUUACAAUGAUGUGUCUUUGCUUUCCGCGUGUAGGUAGUAGCCUUGGUUGCACCUUGCGUGGAUUGGUUGAGACAUAUCGUUGCCCUGUGUUGUGGUGGGACGUCAAAGUCAGUUUGUACGUCGCAGGAAAUGAUUGACGAGGAAGAUAGGUUUGCUGCUUGCAGCGUUCCAUUAUAUCCUUAUCGAUGUCUGCUGUGACGGAGACUGAGGUGUCUUUAACAUGCUCUCGAGUCUAUUAGACAUUCACUUGGUUGAGUGCGUAGAUAGCUUGCUAUG